UACGUAGGAGGCGAGCGUUGUCCGGAGUUACUGGGCGUAAAGGGUGCGCAGGCGGUGGCCCGCGUGGGCGGUGAAAGCUCCUGGCUCAACUGGGAGAGGGCCGUCCAGACGGGGUCACUUGAGAGGCGGAGAGGGAAGCGGAAUUCCAGGUGUAGCGGUGAAAUGCGUAGAUAUCUGGAGGAACAUCAGUGGCGAAGGCGGGUCUCUGGGCCGUUACUGACGCUGAGGAGCGAAAGCGUGGGGAGCGAACAGG
rnacentral:rRNA from 1 species